CCCUUAGAUGUUCUGGGCCGCACGCGCGCUACACUGAUGCAUUCAACGAGUCUAAAACCUGCUCUGAUAGGGGUGGGUAAUCUUUUGAAUGUGCAUCGUGAUUGGGAUAGAUGAUUGAAAUUUUUCAUCUUCAACGAGGAAUGCCUAGUAAACGCAAGUCAUCAGCUUGCAUUGAUUACGUCCCUGCCCUUUGUACACACCGCCCGUCGCUCCUACCGAUUGAAUGAUCCGAUGAAUAUCAUGGAUUGAGGAUGCAAGUAGGUUCACCUAUCUUCAUCUUCGAGAAGUGAAGUAAAUCUUAUCAUUUAGAGGAAGGGGAAGUCGUAACA
rnacentral:rRNA from 1 species